rnacentral:rRNA from 1 species
UACCAGAGUACUAUGAAUCUUUAAAAAUUUAAAACUCAAAGAACUUGGCGGUGUUUUAGACCACCCAGGGGAACCUGUCUCGUAAUCGAUAAUCCACGUUACACCUGACCUCUUUUUGUUUUCAGUUUGUAUACCGUUGUCGUCAGGUAACUUUUUAGAAAUUAGGAGUUAGCAAUGAAAAUAUUGAUAAUUUAUUAUGUCAAAUCAAGGUGCAGCUAAUAAAGGGGGGAGGAUGGGUUACAAUUAUAUAAUUUAUAAUGACGGGUAAAUAUAUGGAUAUGUGUUGAAUUAUAAGGAGGACUUGGAAGUAAAUUAGAGUAUAUAGAUAAUUUGAAUUAGGCUCUGAAACGUGU